AUAGAUUAGUUCUAACACAUUUCCUUUAUCUAUAAAUUCAGUAAUCAUUCUGACAUCCAAAGCUGUGGUUAAACUCAUGCUGUCUGUCAUUUAUUAUUUAUCUCUGUGUCCUUACAAGGAAAGGAAUGUCUCAUAGGUUUCUUCCAUCCAUGUGGAAGGGAAACUAAUCACAAAAGAGCUAAACAAUAAAAGAGAUACACUAGUUUCAGAAUAGAACCAUAGAAUCAUAGAGUAUCCUGAGUUGGAAGGGACCCCCAAGGAUCAUUGAGUCCAACUCGUGGCUCCACAAAGGACCA